AAAUGUCACCACUGAUGCUUGGUUCUUUUUUCUUUUCUCUUGCCAGUCUGAUGGCCUAAAUCUAUUCUCAUGGGGCAUCGGGUAAGGGAAGCAAGCAGAGUACACAAACAGGAGUGGAGCAAGGUGCCUUUUCCCCCAGUGAGUGUGUCCAAGCAGGAUGUCGGGGCACAUGGGUCCCUACCACAGCCCUGCUCAUCUGAUCUUAACCGACUAAGCAAAACUGUGGAUGGAAACUCCUACAAGUCUGUGACCUGGUUCCAAGAAGCCGAUUUGGGAGCUGAAAGAACAACAGAGACGCAUCCCCAUGACGACUACAGGUCUUCAUUCUGUUGGAAAGAAUUCUGACACGCCUGUCAGGGGAGAGCUUGGCAGAUCACGCUCCCAGUAAAGAAACCCAGGACUAUGUGGAUGGGUCCAACUCAUCUAGGCUCCUCUUUGGCUCCAGUAUCACACAGGUCUUGUCUCGGGGAUUCCUGGAGACCUGGCUAAAGAGCCCAGGGAGCUCUAGCUGGGGCUCAGAACGAACCGACACUUGGGUGUUGGAGUCCGAGAGACCCUGGUUCAGACCUUCAUGUGUCCAAGCCUCAGUUUCUUCGUGUGUGACAAUAAUCAUAAUAAUGUUCUCCUUGCAAGAGUGCCAUGAGGAUUAAAUGCGGUAUUGUAUCUGGAAGCAUUUAACACGGUGCCUGUUACUUAAAAUGGGAUUACUAUGUUUUAGUCUCCUUCCUUCCGCUCAGCUCCUCCAGCUGCUGGUGUAUCCCCUUUCCCUGCUGCAUACAUUUGACACAGUGGAAUCAGGCCAGUGAUACUUGGGGGAUACCAUGGUGGUAAGAAUGAAGAGAGAGAAGAGAAAGUUCGACAGUGUUCGGAACAGCAAUAUCCACUUUUAAAUGAUCUGAGUCUAAACUGAGUGGGCUCCAUUGACUUGCAAGACUGCAGAUACAUAAAUAAACUUGGAGCUGUGGGACUGCUUCCUAGACCUGGACACAGCCAACAAAAUAUCUUGGGGAGUUCAAAAAAAAAUCUAAAUACCAGAGAGAUCAUUGUAGUUUUCCUUUGAUAUUAAUGAUGUGACUCAGUUGCACAGGGCCAUGGUGAAUCUCCUGGGUAAUUGGUUUAAGGGAGAGAUGAUAUUCUUUUAGAUUCAUAGCAGCUUCAGCCACUCUAGUCUAACUAGCAUAGCACAGUGAGAUGCUAUACAUCAUCUUCUGUUUCAAAAUAUCCUAUCUAAACAUCGUGUACAUUGAGUAACGCUUAGCCACUUCUUCUCUUAGCAUCGUAGGAAUGGCUGGAAUCCGCCAAGCCAUAUCUUCUUGUUGGGCAUCCUCAGUUAUCCAUGAUGUCGCAAAACAAACUUGCUUCCUAAACUAUAUAUAUAAAGUGGCUAUUUGCAAAGUAGAUGGUCAAGUCUGUAUCUUAUAUAAGUCAGUAUUCAGAGUUUCUGAUGGCAAUUAUUACUUCCAUGUACAACAUAGCCAAUUCUCCAAUGUAUCCAAUGUGGUCAGAGGGAUGAUUA
rnacentral:lncRNA from 1 species